AGUAACGCGUGGGUAACCUGCCUCAUACAGGGGAUAACGAUUGGAAACGAUUGCUAAUACCGCAUAAGCGCACAGUACCACAUGGUGCAGUGUGAAAAACUCCGGUGGUAUGAGAUGGACCCGCGUCUGAUUAGCUAGUUGGUGAGGUAACGGCCCACCAAGGCAACGAUCAGUAGCCGACCUGAGAGGGUGACCGGCCACAUUGGGACUGAGACACGGCCCAG
rnacentral:rRNA from 1 species